AGUGAACGCUGGCGGUAGGCCUAACACAUGCAAGUCGAACGGCAGCACAGUAAGAGCUUGCUCUUGCGGGUGGCGAGUGGCGGACGGGUGAGGAAUACAUCGGAAUCUACUUUUUCGUGGGGGAUAACGUAGGGAAACUUACGCUAAUACCGCAUACGACCUACGGGUGAAAGCAGGGGAUCUUCGGACCUUGCGCGAUUGAAUGAGCCGAUGUCGGACUAGCUAGUUGGCGGGGUAAAGGCCCACCAAGGCGACGAUCCGUAGCUGGUCUGAGAGGAUGAUCAGCCACACUGGAACUGAGACACGGUCCAGACUCCUACGGGAGGCAGCAGUGGGGAAUAUUGGACAAUGGGCGCAAGCCUGAUCCAGCCAUACCGCGUGGGUGAAGAAGGCCUUCGGGUUGUAAAGCCCUUUUGUUGGGAAAGAAAAGCAGCAGGUUAAUACCCCGCUGUUCUGACGGUACCCAAAGAAUAAGCACCGGCUAACUUCGUG
rnacentral:rRNA from 1 species